rnacentral:rRNA from 1 species
ACAGAAGGGAGCUUGCUCCCGGAUGUUAGCGGCGGACGGGUGAGUAACACGUGGGUAACCUGCCUGUAAGACUGGGAUAACUCCGGGAAACCGGAGCUAAUACCGGAUAGUUCCUUGAACCGCAUGGUUCAAGGAUGAAAGACGGUUUCGGCUGUCACUUACAGAUGGACCCGCGGCGCAUUAGCUAGUUGGUGGGGUAAUGGCUCACCAAGGCGACGAUGCGUAGCCGACCUGAGAGGGUGAUCGGCCACACUGGGACUGAGACACGGCCCAGACUCCUACGGGAGGCAGCAGUAGGGAAUCUUCCGCAAUGGACGAAAGUCUGACGGAGCAACGCCGCGUGAGUGAUGAAGGUUUUCGGAUCGUAAAGCUCUGUUGUUAGGGAAGAACAAGUGCGAGAGUAACUGCUCGCACCUUGACGGUACCUAACCAGAAAGCCACGGCUAACUACGUGCCAGCAGCCGCGGUAAUACGUAGGUGGCAAGCGUUGUCCGGAAUUAUUGGGCGUAAAGGGCUCGCAGGCGGUUUCUUAAGUCUGAUGUGAAAGCCCCCGGCUCAACCGGGGAGGGUCAUUGGAAACUGGGAAACUUGAGUGCAGAAGAGGAGAGUGGAAUUCCACGUGUAGCGGUGAAAUGCGUAGAGAUGUGGAGGAACACCAGUGGCGAAGGCGACUCUCUGGUCUGUAACUGACGCUGAGGAGCGAAAGCGUGGGGAGCGAACAGGAUUAGAUACCCUGGUAGUCCACGCCGUAAACGAUGAGUGCUAAGUGUUAGGGGGUUUCCGCCCCUUAGUGCUGCAGCUAACGCAUUAAGCACUCCGCCUGGGGAGUACGGUCGCAAGA